UACAGAGGGUGCGAGCGUUAAUCGGAAUUACUGGGCGUAAAGCGUGCGUAGACGGCUAUCUAAGUCGGGUGUGAAAGCCCCGGGCUCAACCUGGGAAUUGCAUUCGAGACUGAAUAGCUAGGGUACGGUAGAGGGAAGUGGAAUUUCCGGUGUAGCGGUGAAAUGCGUAGAGAUCGGGAGGAACAUCAGUGGCGAAGGCGGCCAUCUGGGACAACACUGACGCUGAGGCACGAAAGCGUGGGGAGCAAACAGG
rnacentral:rRNA from 1 species